AACGCACCUUGCGCCCUUUGGUAUUCCGAAGGGCAUGCCUGUUUGAGUGUCAUUAAAUUCUCAACUUCAAAAGGAUUUUUUGAAGCUUGGAUUUUGGAGGUUUUUGCUGGCGUCAUUGUCAGCUCCUCUUAAAUGAAUUAGCGGAACUAAUAAAAAGGGGACCAGCUUUGGUUUGAUAAUCCUAUCUAUGCCGUCGCUGUGAACUUGUGUUCAGCUUCUAAUGGUCUUCGGACUGUCUCCUUGUGAGGCAUACACUUUUAAGCUUGACCUCAAAUCAGGUAGGACUACCCGCUGAACUUAA
rnacentral:misc_RNA from 1 species